CUAACAGAUUAUUUUUGAUUCUAGCAAAUAAAUACCUCCUCUGCUUUCCCCCUAAAACAAGUGACACGAAUUUACAUUCAGCCAGGCUGUGAGAUAUUUGGAGAAAAUUCAAAUUCUGGACCCCUCAGCUGUGCCUUAACAUUCCUAUGUUACACUCUGUUCAGGGUGGUUGCCUUCACUCGGUCAUCUCAACUCUUCACUCUGAAUCUUGAUCUGGUUUUGUUUACAAUUUGUUGCUGCAAUCUUCCUGUAACUGUUUCCAGAGUCGUGUGACAAGGAGGCUGGCUGACUGUGAGAUUUCUCUCACACUCCGCUGCUUGUGUAGCCAAGAUGGAAUUAAGCAAUGUUGAAAUCAAAGCUUCAGUUUUUAUUGGCCUAGAUUUCUCAGGCCUUCCCAUUUUUUAGUAUCACAGUCCUCAGGGAUUUCUAAGUGCCUUUGAGAGGAACUGUUCUCGAAUGGGAUUAUUGGGCACCCGCCCUCAAUUCUUCAACAAAGCCCUAAAGAAUGGAUGUCUCAAGUUCUGCCACUUUUAAAGUACAAAUCCAGACUUUUUUCUGAUUCUCCUUGAUUCUGGGUUUUACUCCAACAGUGGGAAAGUUUUCUAAGCUGAGUUUUCUUCCUGUCUCCUGGGCAAGGCAGUUUGGUCAGUGGUUGCUCUGUGGGCUACUGUCUGGAGCAGAGGGCGGUUAGGGAGGUCACCCUGACACCUAUGGCCAACGGAGGGUGGAGGGAGUGGUCUAGGUUUGGCCCGCAGUCUGGAGUCACAGGCAGCACAGAGAGAUCUUGGCUCAGAACCUGAGGCUGAGGCGUGCUGGGACAGCCUAGGGGGUGUCCUGGCUUUCCAGGGGCUGGGGAACCCUCUCUGGCCCGGGGGCGGGAGACACUGUUCCAGAAUCGGUUCUGGCUCCACUGCCGCCUCAGCACUUUCUAAUUGCAGCUCCAAACAACAACAGCCACAGCUGCAGUCAUAGCAACAGGCCCCGCCCACCGGGCUCCGCUCCCGGCAUGCAGCACGUGACGGCGACGCCUGCGUCGCUCCCUCCACCCCUGGCGUUAAGGGAGGCGGGGUGUGGGGAGGGAUGACGUUUACUCUGUCGUCUCCAUGGAUAUAAUGCAUAGACGUCAACGUCGCCUGUGUUUAGUGUGUAACGUUCUUCCGUCUCCAUGGGAACGUCAGGCGGCCAAACACAAGCCCCAGCAACAGGCUUCCGAUUGGCCCGAGGCUCCUAAAGGCGGAGCCAGCCUGUGCUGGCUCUACUGUGUUGCUGUUUUGGUUGUUGUCUCCCACUUGUUUAUUUCUCUAGCAGAUCCUGGAUGCUGAGGUCUAGAUCGGUCGCCAAAGAUAGGGUCCAGGAGAAAACGUGCCCGACAGCCUCUACGUACAGCUUGCUCCCACCCACUACAGCCCAACAGGAAUACAGCGUGUCUUGAUCUCUGAGAGCCAAUAUAUCUGGGUUACACCGAAAGAGGAAUAAUGAAACAAUAUUUACAUUGUACAUUGAAGAUGACCUGAAAAGCUAGAAGAGUUCUAAACUCAGACAGAUAUCAGCUGGAAGAAGCCCUGGGUUCAAAUAAACUUGACUUGGAUGUCAAUGUACCAUCAGCAAAUGAACUCCCAAAUCCCCACCUGCUGUGAAGUUUCCUAUUCAUGGCAAGCAGAGUCCAGGUGAAGGCAAAGAUUCUUCUCCCACAGACACCCUCUGGGCAGGCUGUCUCCCCUGUUAUAGUGGUGUGUGAUAAUCCAGUCCUCUCUGGUCUGUGCAAUUCAACUAAUCAACAAAUACACAGACCUGGCCCCAGCCGUGGGCCCAGUCAAUGCUGAGUUGCUCAAGAAGCCAAGUAUGUUCUGGAGCAAGAGAGGGGGGCAUUCAAGAAAUAAAUAGGAAACCUGUACUCAUUAUUAUGUUUAUUGAGUGCUUAAUACUAUGUCAGGCACUGGGGAAACAGUAAUUUUUCCCUCCCUAAUAGAACUUACAUCCUGGCAUUAUUUCAGCAUACUUGUGGCUUUACUUUUUUAAAUAAAAUUUUACUUUACAAUUCAGUGUUGUUUUUGUUUUGAAUUACUUGGAGGGAUAUCAAAAACAUUUUGGUAUUGGGCCCAUAAAUGUUUUAUUAUGGCCCCAUGGCCAGCACUUUUAAACUAAAAAAUUGGUUAGAUUUUUGCCUUUAUGCCCAAAUAUUUUCUAAACCAUCACUUGUAGAAGUGGGCUGAAUUUGUGGGAAAGAAAGGAUCUGGAGUGUAACCAACCACAGGCAAAAUUUCUCAUUGUGCUCAUCACUGUUUCUGGGUGGGGGGGUGGUGGCUUUAAAACUAAGGUACCCAUACCCUCUGGUGUGGCAGGUGGUAGAAACAUUUAGACAGCAAGUAUGAUGGAUCUUUGCAGUUCUAGGAUGGGUGUACCCCUUGGGUUUGUGAACAUCUAAAUUAUUGUGCCUGGUAAGAAAAAUGCUGACUAGGAUUGUGGUCCCUCUCACUCCAAGGAGGGUACGUGUAAUAAGUCACCCAUCAAGGCCCUUUGUCCAGAAAGGGAAUCCGUGCUGCCUUCUCAGCCACAAGGACAAUGGCUGCUGAGCCUUCUGUUUGAUGUUCAUUCAUUCUAUAAACACUCACUGAGGGCCUAGUCCUGUCGGGAAGCGAGGCACUGAGGAUGGAUACCUCCCAGAUAAGACAGAUAAGGUCUCUGCUCCCCUGGAGCUUAUGGCCUCACAGAGGCAGACAGACAAUGAACUCAUACAUAAAUUAAACAGACAGGGUAACGUGGUGAUACGUGCUAGAUAGAAAAGAAAAUCAGGUAAUGUGACAGAAAGUGAAGUGCAAGGAGUGAGGGUGCGACAUUGGACAGGGGGCAGGACAGGCUUC